rnacentral:rRNA from 1 species
AACGAACGCUGGCGGCGCGCCUAAUACAUGCAAGUCGAGCGAGAAGACGUAGCAAUACGUUUGUAAAGCGGCGAACGGGUGAGGAAUACAUGGGUAACCUACCCUCGAGUGGGGAAUAACUAGCCGAAAGGUUAGCUAAUACCGCGUACGCUCCUUGGACUUCGGUUCAGGGAGGAAAGCGAUACCGUGGGUAUCGCGCUCUUGGAUGGGCUCAUGUCCUAUCAGCUUGUUGGUGAGGUAACGGCUCACCAAGGCUUCGACGGGUAGCUGGUCUGAGAGGACAAUCAGCCACACUGGCACUGCGACACGGGCCAGACUCCUACGGGAGGCAGCAGUAAGGAAUAUUGCGCAAUGGGCGAAAGCCUGACGCAGCGACGCCGCGUGGGGGAUGAAGGUCUUCGGAUUGUAAACCCCUUUCGGGAGGGAAGAUGGAGCGAGCAAUCGUUCGGACGGUACCUCCAGAGGCAGCCACGGCUAACUUCGUGCCAGCAGCCGC